rnacentral:rRNA from 1 species
UACGAAGGGUGCAAGCGUUGUUCGGAUUUAUUGGGCGUAAAGCGCGCGCAGGCGGGAUGGCAAGUCAGAUGUGAAAACUCGGAGCUUAACUUCGAACGUGCGUCUGAAACUACCGUUCUAGAGUAGCGAAAGGGGAAGGGGAAUUUCACAUGUAGGGGUAAAAUCCGUAGAGAUGUGAAGGAACACCUGGGGCGAAAGCGCCUUCCUAGUCGCUUACUGACGCUGAGGCGCGAAAGCGUGGGGAGCAAACAGG